ensembl:snRNA U6 U6 spliceosomal RNA
GUGCUUGCUUUGGCAGCACAUAUACUAAAAUUGGAAUGAUACAGAUAAGAUUAGCAAGGCCCAUACAAGGAUGACAGGUAAAUUCAUGAAGCACUCAUUAUUUAA